UGAAAAUUCCAGCGUCUACGGAAU
rnacentral:siRNA from 1 species